rnacentral:lncRNA from 1 species
GACUCUGUCUCAAAAAAAAGAAAAAGAGGACAAGACAUGGCAGUCAGCGCGCAGAGAGCGACUGGAGAAAGACUGGGGGUCAGACGGGCAGGGCAGAGAAGGGUGCCCAAGACAUUGCUGGGAGCAGAGAAGUCACACCUUCCUCAAGGCCGGCUGGAGGACGCAACAGCUCUUUGUUAUAAGUGUGAGCCACCAUGCCUCACCUUAUACCUAUUUUAAAGAUGAAACCAGGCCACGGUGUGGUGGCUCACGCCUAUAAUUCUACCACUUUGGAAGGUCAAGGCAGGAGAAUUGUCUGAGCUCAAGAGUUUGAGACUGGCCUGGGCAACAUAGUAAGACCCUGUUGCUACUAAAAAUCUUUUUUAAAAAUUAGCUGGGCAUGACGGUGCACAC